rnacentral:rRNA from 1 species
UACGUAGGGGGCAAGCGUUGUCCGGAAUCAUUGGGCGUAAAGCGCGUGUAGGCGGUUCGGUAAGUCUGCUGUGAAAGUCCAGGGCUCAACCCUGGGAUGCCGGUGGAUACUGUCGGACUAGAGUUCGGCAGGGGAGACUGGAAUUCCUGGUGUAGCGGUGAAAUGCGCAGAUAUCGGGAGGAACACCCGUAGCGAAGGCGGCACUCUGGGCCGGAACUGACGCUGAGGAGCGAAAGCGUGGGGAGCAAACAGG